rnacentral:misc_RNA from 2 species
CUGAGUGAGGGCCCCUCGGGGUCCAACCUCCCACCCGUGUUUAACGAACCGUGUUGCUUCGGCGCGCCCGCCUCACGGCCGCCGGGGGGCAUCUGCCCCCGGGCCCGCGCCCGCCGAAGCCCCCACGAACGCUGUCUGAAGUAUGCAGUCUGAGACAAUUAUUAAAUUAAUUA